AUGAGAAGAAUUGAAGACUUUAGAGCUUGUCAUGAUAUUGCAAGCCUAGCUAAAAGGAUGGUUGAACUUCAAAGGAAUGUUAUGUUUCCUGCCGUUUAUCACCUCAUUGAGUUGGCAUUGCUACUACCGGUAGCGAUGGCAACAGUUGAAAGAGCCUUCUCAUCAAUGAAAAUCAUCGACAGUGAGUUGUGCAGCAAGAUGUCUGAUGCCUGGUUUAAUGACUUGAUGGUGUGUUACAUUGAGCGAGAGAUCUUCAAAAGUAUUGAUCUUCGUAAAAUUAAGGAAGAUUCUCAGAAGGAGGGUAGUGCAUUGACAUUGCCCGGGUCUUCUAGACGCCAUUAA
rnacentral:rRNA from 1 species